AAACAACAAUUACAAUAACAACAACAAAAUUAAGGAUUAUUUAAAAUAACAACGAAUAUUUACACAACGCUGUUUACAAAACAAAUAAACAACACAAAAUAAUUAUUCGCUCCAUUAGCAGGCAACGGAUGUUAAAACAACUACUUUGAUAAACAAGAUACAAAAUUAAAAUAAAAA